rnacentral:lncRNA from 1 species
GGAGAGUUUUAUUCAUGCAUAUUUUCGAUCUGGAUGCUUCCCUUGGAUUAAUCCUGUACAAAAUAGAAGCAUCCAUUGGAUUUACAAGAUAACAGUAUGGGUUAGAGAUAUGCAGCAAGCUAGUUCAUCGGGUUAACCUAGAUGAAGCGCUGAGAGAUGAAUUUGCUCGUGCAAACAUGCUCCAUGGACACUGUGUUGACGUUGAAACGUCAGUUUUUUGAUCUAGCGAACCUGUAAAAUUCAAUGGAACUGCAUUUCAAUUAAGAAAUCACUGAAGCAUGUAGAGUGAGAUUUGAGUUUAGAAAUUUACUACGCACAAACCAAUACUAGAUCCUAAGCUUCACCAUGUGUGGUCAUUAAAUCCUACGAGAGAAAAUGCAGAGUUGUUGCACAAUUUGAUCUCAAAAUGCCGAUGAGGCAUGAC